UACGAAGGGGGCUAGCGUUGUUCGGAUUUACUGGGCGUAAAGCGCGUGUAGGCGGGUCGUUAAGUUGGGGGCGAAAUCCCGAGGCUCAACCUCGGAACUGCCUUCAAAACUGGCGACCUGGACUCAAGCAGAGGCAAGUGGAAUUGCGAGUGUAGAGGUGAAAUUCGUAGAUAUUCGCAGGAACACCAGUGGCGAAGGCGACUUGCUGGGCUUGUAGUGACGCUGAGACGCGAAAGCGUGGGGAGCAAACAGG
rnacentral:rRNA from 1 species